CAAGUGUGAUAAUUAGUGUGAAUUGCAGAAUAUCGCGAAUCAUCGAAACCUUGAAUGUAAAUGGUGGGAUUUGCCUCUGGCAUUUCCUUUACCCGUAUGAGUGUCUAUUUUUUCAAGUCCGAUACGUCGGGUAUAAUGACCGUUGAUAUACAAUCUUUCAUCGGUUUAAAUUUUGUUUUCCGUAAUUUUUAAUACGAUAAAAAAAAGACCUACUAUUUCAUGGAGUUGUUGCCCUUGAUUUUCAGCUAUUAACUUUUUGAAGUACGGAUUUUUUUUUUUUUUAUCUUGAAUUUUUUUACGGUAAAAAAAAUGAAAAAAUUUCUUCUAUUUUUGGACCUCAUGCGGGUAAGACUACCCGCUGAAUUUAA
rnacentral:misc_RNA from 1 species